CCAAAAGCUGGCGACCGGCGCACGGGUGAGUAACACGUAUCCAACCUGCCUCAUACUCGGGGAUAGCCUUUCGAAAGAAAGAUUAAUAUCCGAUAGCAUAUAUUUCCCGCAUGGGUUUUAUAUUAAAGAAAUUCGGUAUGAGAUGGGGAUGCGUUCCAUUAGUUUGUUGGGGGGGUAACGGCCCACCAAGACUACGAUGGAUAGGGGUUCUGAGAGGAAGGUCCCCCACAUUGGAACUGAGACACGGUCCAG
rnacentral:rRNA from 1 species